GACGAACGCUGGCGGCGUGCUUAACACAUGCAAGUCGAACGGUAAGGCCCUUCGGGGUACACGAGUGGCGAACGGGUGAGUAACACGUGGGUGAUCUGCCCUGCACUUCGGGAUAAGCCUGGGAAACUGGCUCUAAUACCGGAUAGGACCACUGCCUGCAUGGGUGGGGGUGGAAAGCUUUUGCGGUGUGGGAUGGGCCCGCGGGCUAUCAGCUUGUUGGUGGGGUGACGGUCUACCCAGGCGACGACUGGUGGGCGGCCCUGAGAGGGUGACCGGCCACACUGGGACUGAGAUACGGCCCAGACUCCUACGGGAGGCAGCAGUGGGGAAUAUUGCACAAUGGGCGCAAGCCUGAUGCAGCGACGCCGCGUGAGGGAUGACGGCCUUCGGGUUGUAAACCUCUUUCAGCACCGACGUAGCGAAAGUGACGGUACCUGCAGAAAAAGCACCGGCUAACUACGUGCCAGCCGCCGCGGUAA
rnacentral:rRNA from 1 species